rnacentral:rRNA from 1 species
ACGCACGCUGGCGGCGUGCCUCAUACAUGCAAGUAGAACGCACAGUUUAUACCGUAGCUUGCUACACCAUAAACUGUGAGUUGCGAACGGGUGAGUAACGCGUAGGUAACCUGCCUGGUAGCGGGGGAUAACUAUCGGAAACGAUAGCUAAUACCGCAUAAUAUUGAUUAUUGCAUGAUAAUUGAUUGAAAGAUGCUAUUGCAUCACUACCAGAUGGACCUGCGUUGUAUUAGCUAGUAGGUGAGGUAACGGCUCACCUAGGCGACGAUACAUAGCCGACCUGAGAGGGUGAGCGGCCACACUGGGACGGAGACACGGCCCAGACUCCUACGGGAGGCAGCAGUAGGGAAUCUUCGGCAAUGGACGAAAGUCUGACCGAGCAACGCCGCGUGAGUGAAGAAGGGUUUCGGAUCGUAAAGCUCUGUUGUAAGAGAAGAACGGGUGUGAGAGUGGAAAGUUCACACUGUGACGGUAGCUUACCAGAAAGGGACGGCUAACUACGUG